rnacentral:rRNA from 1 species
GAUGAACGCUGGCGGCGUGCCUAAUACAUGCAAGUCGAGCGAACAGAUGAGGAGCUUGCUCCUCUGACGUUAGCGGCGGACGGGUGAGUAACACGUGGAUAACCUACCUAUAAGACUGGGAUAACUUCGGGAAACCGGAGCUAAUACCGGAUAAUAUAUUGAACCGCAUGGUUCAAUAGUGAAAGACGGUUUUGCUGUCACUUAUAGAUGGAUCCGCGCCGCAUUAGCUAGUUGGUAAGGUAACGGCUUACCAAGGCAACGAUGCGUAGCCGACCUGAGAGGGUGAUCGGCCACACUGGGACUGAGACACGGUCCAGACUCCUACGGGAGGCAGCAGAAGGGAAUCUUCCGCAAUGGGCGAAAGCCUGACGGAGCAACGCCGCGUGAGUGAUGAAGGUCUUCGGAUCGUAAAACUCUGUUAUUAGGGAAGAACAAAUGUGUAAGUAACUAUGCACGUCUUGACGGUACCUAAUCAGAAAGCCACGGCUAACUACGUG